rnacentral:rRNA from 1 species
UCCUACGGGAGGCAGCAGCGGGGAAUCUUGCGCAAUGGGGGCAACCCUGACGCAGCCAUACCGCGUGUGUGAUGACGGUCUUCGGAUUGUAAAGCACUUUCAGUAGGGACGACGAUGACGGUACCUACAGAAGAAGCCCCGGCUAACUUCGUGCCAGCAGCCGCGGUAAUA